UGGGAAUUUGGACGAAUGGGCGAAAGCCUGAUCCAGCAAUGCCGCGUGUGUGAAGAAGGCCUUCGGGUUGUAAAGCACUUUUGUCCGGAAAGAAAUCCUUGGCUCUAAUACAGUCGGGGGAUGACGGUACCGGAAGAAUAAGCACCGGCUAACUACGUGCCAGCAGCCGCGGUAAUACGUAGGGUGCAAGCGUUAAUCGGAAUUACUGGGCGUAAAGCGUGCGCAGGCGGUUUGCUAAGACCGAUGUGAAAUCCCCGGGCUCAACCUGGGAACUGCAUUGGUGACUGGCAGGCUAGAGUAUGGCAGAGGGGGGUAGAAUUCCACGUGUAGCAGUGAAAUGCGUAGAGAUGUGGAGGAAUACCGAUGGCGAAGGCAGCCACCUGGGCCAAUACUGACGCUCAUGCACGAAAGCGU
rnacentral:rRNA from 1 species